AGCGGGUAUGCGUUCGUAGUAUUUUUUUUUUUUUUUUUUUCUAGGAUUACAUUUAUAUUUUCGGAUAAUUUAAUUAUGGCUGAUCAAGGUAUUAACCAAGAAGCCUUGAACUGUGCAUUAAAAUCAAUCAGAGCUUUGCGUAGCAAUGUGUUGGAAGUUUUUAGAUCUUUAAGUGAUGGAGCAGCUAUCCCAGAAGAUGAAAAAGAACGGGAGAAGUUCAUCAAUGAGAUUAAACAAACGCUGACUAAUGUACAAGUUCGUAUGAGGGAUUUAGAAACUGCGUCUACUCUUCUUGGUUCUCCAACAACUCCCUUAAAUUUAGGAAAUUCUGGUCUUUUAAGUCAGGAUGCAGCAUAUGACAAGACACCUUUGUAUAAUGAAGUUGUCAAAACCCAUCGGUGGUUUGAUCAGAUGCUUGAACACAGUGCCCAUGCUCAUGCCAUUUUGGCUCAGAACUCAUUGAAGAGAUCCACUUUCAAUUCUGUUACCAAACAGAAUCGUAUACCGUCUACUGGACAUAAUGUGGCUCCUCAAAAUGUAGAUGCAGUGACAGCCCAGCUAUGUCAUUUGUUCCCUGAUAUGCAAAUUAAAGUUGUUAGACCUUGUGGAGCACCUGCUGUACUCUUGAUCACUUUAGGAAGGACUCUAAAAGCACUAAUAAUCUUAAGAGGUUUGACGAUUGAAUGGGUUGUUGUUAAAGGAUAUAAUGAAGAAUUUUAUAAUGAAGAUGGCAAACUUGAUAUGUGGUCUGGAUCACGGUUUGAUGUCUUUAAGAAGGUUACCGACCAUGCAAAUGCUGCCAUGCUGCAUUUUGUUUCACCAUAUAUAACCGACCUUUGUGUGAGAUCAUUUUUGAUCAUGCUGUAAAGCAGCAACUACCAGGGCUACUAGUACCAUCUCUUGCCCCAAGACAGAGGAGAGGUUCACCUACCAUAUGUACUUGUUAUCUCCAAAUUUUUAAUUUUGUCACUUACAUCCUUAUGCUUCUCACUGCCUCAUUUGUGUAAGUCCAUAUUAUCUUCGAUUAUCAACCCACAUCAGCUACUCAAUUGACGUGGCUGCGUAGCUAUAACACUCUUUUCACUGCUUCUUGCUGUAAAUGUGGUAAUCGUCUACUGGAUAAUAUGCCACCAACAUGGAGAGAUGUAAGAAAUCUUGACCCCUAUCAUGAAGCUUGCAAACCAUAGC